UGGCGGCGUGGUUAAGACAUGCAAGUCGAACGAGAGAAUUGCUAGCUUGCUAAUAAUUCUCUAGUGGCGCACGGGUGAGUAACACGUGAGUAACCUGCCCCCGAGAGCGGGAUAGCCCUGGGAAACUGGGAUUAAUACCGCAUAGUAUCGAAAGAUUAAAGCAGCAAUGCGCUUGGGGAUGGGCUCGCGGCCUAUUAGUUAGUUGGUGAGGUAACGGCUCACCAAGGCGAUGACGGGUAGCCGGUCUGAGAGGAUGUCCGGCCACACUGGAACUGAGACACGGUCCAGACACCUACGGGUGGCAGCAGUCGAGAAUCAUUCACAAUGGGGGAAACCCUGAUGGUGCGACGCCGCGUGGAGGAAUGAAGGUCUUCGGAUUGUAAACCCCUGUCAUGUGGGAGCAAAUUAAAAAGAUAGUACCACAAGAGGAAGAGACGGCUAACUCUGUGCCAGCAGCCGCGGUAAUACAGAGGUCUCAAGCGUUGUUCGGAAUCACUGGGCGUAAAGCGUGCGUAGGCUGUUUCGUAAGUCGUGUGUGAAAGGCGCGGGCUCAACCCGCGGACGGCACAUGAUACUGCGAGACUAGAGUAAUGGAGGGGGAACCGGAAUUCACGGUGUAGCA
rnacentral:rRNA from 1 species